rnacentral:rRNA from 1 species
GAUGAACGCUGGCGGCGUGCCUAAUACAUGCAAGUCGAGCGAACGGACGAGGAGCUUGCUCCUUUGACGUUAGCGGCGGACGGGUGAGUAACACGUGGAUAACCUACCUAUAAGACUGGGAUAACUUCGGGAAACCGGAGCUAAUACCGGAUAAUAUAUUGAACCGCAUGGUUCAAUAGUGAAAGACGGUUUUGCUGUCACUUAUAGAUGGAUCCGCGCCGCAUUAGCUAGUUGGUAAGGUAACGGCUUACCAAGGCAACGAUGCGUAGCCGACCUGAGAGGGUGAUCGGCCACACUGGAACUGAGACACGGUCCAGACUCCUACGGGAGGCAGCAGUAGGGAAUCUUCCGCAAUGGGCGAAAGCCUGACGGAGCAACGCCGCAUGAGUGAUGAAGGUCUUCGGAUCGUAAAACUCUGUUAUUAGGGAAGAACAAAUGUGUAAGUAACUAUGCACGUCUUGACGGUACCUAAUCAGAAAGCCACGGCUAACUACGUG